AUUACAACAGCUAUGGUUUACUUGGAACAUCCGCUCUGCGGAUAUCCGUGGAAAUUCUACAGUUAAUACGUAUCAUUUCCUUCGGGGGUGUUGCAUAUUGUCGUGAAUGACCGUCGGGGUAACCCGUCUUACUUGAACACUUUUAUGCGCGAAUCGUGUGUCAACACGAGGGUCCAUCAAAGCUUCUGACCUAUCAGGUUUCGACGGUUGGGUAUUGGCCAACUGUGCCUAUAACGGGUAACGGGGGAUUAGGGUUUGAUUCCGGAGAGGGAGCUUGAGAGAUGGCUACCACAUCUAAGGAGGGCAGCAGGCGCGCAAAUUACCUAUCCCUGAUCCAGGGAGGUAGUAAACAGAAAUAAUGACGCGCAGUAUCUAUUGUGCGAUCGGAAUGAAUAGCUUCUAAACAGAGUUGUGAAAUUCAUUGGAGGGCAAGUCUGGUGCCAGCAGCCGCGGUAAUUCCAGCUCCAAUAGCGUAUAUUAAAUUUGUUGCAGUUAAAAUGUUCGUAGUCGUUCUUUUUCUGCUUGGUCGUUUGGCACCUAAGGUGUUACAAGUGCUUAAAGCGGAGAUUGUGCAGUCUCCUCACGUUUUUACGGAAGGCUGGCUGUAUCGUAUUUUGAGUGAAUCGGCGUGUUCCGCGCAGGCGAAUGCCGUGAACGAUUUACCAUAGUAUAACCAGGAUAUGAUGGUACCCCUUUGUUUGCUCGGGGGUGCUUUCUAACACGACAAGAACGGUUGAGGGCAUUUGUAUUCAACUGCCAGAGGUGAAAUUCUUUGAUUAGUUGAGGACAAACUACGGCGAAAGCAUUUGCUAAGGACGUUUCUAUUGAUCAAGAACGAAAGUUGGGUGAUCGAAGAUGAUUAGAUACCGUCGUAGUCCUAACUAUAAACUUUGCUAUCCAAGAAGUGGAUAGGUUUUAUUAUAUCUUUUCAGUUCCUUUUGAGUAAUCACGAGACUCUGAGUUCUGGGGGGAGUAUAGUCGCAAGGCCGAAACUUAAAGGAAUUGACGGAAGGGCACCACCAGGGGUGGAGCUUGCGGCUUAAUUUGACUCAACACUGAAAAUCUUACUAGAACAAGACAUAAGGAUGAUUGACAGAUUGAUCGCUCUUUCUUGAUUUUGUGGGUGGUGGUGCAUGGCCGUUCUUAGUUCGUGGAGUAAUUUGUCAGGUUAAUUCCGUUAACGAACGAGACUUUGAUUUGCUAAUUAGGGUUCUUUAUUGAUAAUGUUCCCUUUUAGAAGGACCAUGUGUGUUUAAUGCGAGGAAGCGCGAAGCAAUAACAGGUCUGUGAUGCCCUUAGAUGUUCUAGGCAGCACGCGUGCUACAUUGAUGCAUACAAUGUGUGAUGCGUUCCGAAAGGACGGUAAAAUCAUUAAUUUGCAUCAACUUAGGGAUUAUUUGUUGAAAUGUCAAGUAUUAACGAGGAAUCCCUAGUAAGCAUGUAUCAUCAGUUCGCGUUGACUAUGUCCCUGCCCUUUGUACACACCGCCCGUCGCACCUAAGGAUUAGGUUAUGUCAUAAGCGUGACAGAGGCAAAUUAAAAGAUGCAAAUGUUUUUUUUGCUAAAUUCAUGUAAAUGUUGUGUCCCAGACUCAGGUAAAGUCGUAACACGGUUAUC
rnacentral:rRNA from 1 species